ensembl:lncRNA
AUGGGUAGAGUAGCAGCGGCAACUUCUGUCCCGAUCAAUCACUCCAACACAGCUGGAGUAGCAGAGGCAACUUCUGCCCCACUUGGUCUCUCCAAGACUGAUGGAGUAGCAGACAUAACUCCUGCCCCACUCCAUCUCUCUAACACGGAUAGACCAGAAGCGGCAGAUAAUGCCACGUUGGAUGACAACUGCAUAGAUAGAACAGCAGCAGCAAUUUCUGACCGGAUCAGUCUCUCUAACACCAAUGCAGGAGCAGUGGACACUCCUGCUCUGCUUGGUGUCUCCAGCACGGGAGGAGAAGCAGCGGCAGUUUCUGCCCCGUUCAAUGACUCCAAUCCAGCUGGAGUAGCAGAGGCAACUUCUGCCCCACUUGGUCUCUCCAAGACUGAUGGAGUAGCAGACAUAACUCCUGCCCCACUCCAUCUCUCUAACACAGGUAGACCAGAAGCGGAAGAUUAUGCCCUGUUUGAUGACAACUGCAUAGAUGGAACAGCAGCAGCAAUUUCUGACCUGAUCAGUCCCUCUAAGACCAAUGGAAUAGCAGUGGACACUUCUGACCUGCUUGGACUCUCCAACACAGAUGGAGAAGCAGCAGCAGUUUAUGCCCCAUUCAAUGACUCCUACACAGCUGGAGCAGCAGAGGCAACUUCUGCCCCACUCCAUCUCUCCAACACUGAUACACUGGAAGCGGCAGUUUAUGCCCCAUUUGAUGACAACUACAUAGAUGGAGUAGCAGCGGCAGUUUCUGCCCUGUUUGGUCUCUCUAACACCGAUGCAGGAGCAGCAGACACUUCUGCCCCACUUGAUCUCUCCAACAGAGAUGAAGCAGCAGUGGGAACACCUGCCCCGAUCAAUCACUCCAAUACGGCUGGAGUAGCAGAGGCAACUUCUGCCCCACUCCAUCUCUCCAACACUGAUGCAGUGGAAGCGGCAGUUUAUGCCCCAUUUGAUGACAACUAUGUAGAUGGAGUAGCAGCGGCAAUUUCUGCCUUGUUUGGUCUCUCUAACACCGAUGCAGGAGCAGCGGGCACUUCUGUCCCGCUUGGUCUCUCCAACACAGAUGGAGAAGCAGCGGCAGUUUUUGCCUUGUUUGAUGACUCCUACACAGAUGAAGUAGCAGAAGCAACUUCUGCCCCACUCCAUCUCUCCAACAGCGACGUACUGGAAGCGGCAGUUUAUGCUCCAUUCGAUGACAACUACAUAGAUGGAAUAGCAGAAGCAAUUUCUGACCUGUUUGGUCUCUCUAACACCGCUGCAGUAACAGCAGACACUUCUGCCACGCUUGUUCUCUCCAACAGAGAUGGAGUAGCAGUGGGAACACCUGCCGCAAUCAAUCACUCUAAUACGGCUGGAGUAGCAGAGGCAACUUCUGCCCCACUCCAUCUCUCCAACACCGAUGCACUGGAAGCGGCAGUUUAUGCCCCAUUUGAUGACAACUACAUAGAUGGAGUGGCAGCGGCAAUUUCUGCCCUGUUUGGUCUCUCUAACACCAAUGGAAUAUCAGUGGACACUUCUGUCCCGCUUGGUCUCUCCAACACAGAUGGAGAAGCAGUGGCAACACCUGCCCCGAUCAAUCACUCCAACACAGCUGGAGUAGCAGAGGCAACUUCUGCCCCACUCAAGCUCUCC